rnacentral:lncRNA from 1 species
GUGUGAUCUUCCGAUACUGGUGCCGCUGCUCUCAGAUUGGCUGCUGCACCCGUUAUUUCUCAUUCUCCUUGAUUGCCGCCGUACGUGGAGGAGUGCGCUUGCCGGAGCGUGCUGCUUGGCGGACCAUGGACGACAAGGAGCGCCGGGUGCGGAAGGCCGCUGCGUCUCGUGCUCGU